rnacentral:rRNA from 1 species
GGGGGGGGGGGGCGGGGGGCGGGGGAGAGGGAAGGCGAGGGGGGAGGGGGGGAGCGUGCGCCGCGGAGGGGGGCGGCGGACGGGUGAGUAACACGUGGAUAACCUACCUAUAAGACUGGGAUAACUUCGGGAAACCGGAGCUAAUACCGGAUAAUAUAUUGAACCGCAUGGUUCAAUAGUGAAAGACGGUUUUGCUGUCACUGAUAGAUGGAUCCGCGCCGCAUUAGCUAGUUGGUAAGGUAACGGCUUACCAAGGCGACGAUGCGUAGCCGACCUGAGAGGGUGAUCGGCCACACUGGAACUGAGACACGGUCCAGACUCCUACGGGAGGCAGCAGUAGGGAAUCUUCCGCAAUGGGCGAAAGCCUGACGGAGCAACGCCGCGUGAGUGAUGAAGGUCUUCGGAUCGUAAAACUCUGUUAUUAGGGAAGAACAAAUGUGUAAGUAACUAUGCACGUCUUGACGGUACCUAAUCAGAAAGCCACGGCUAACUACGUG